AUUAUUUCAAUUAAAAGGGAAACAGGUGUAACUCCUGUACGGUCCCGCCGCUGUAAUAAAAGAGUAGUGCAGAAUAUGCCACUGUUAAUAUGGGAAGGCUUUGUACUAUGUUGAUUUUUAAGUCAGAAGACCUGCCUGUUGUUAUAG
rnacentral:ncRNA from 1 species